AAAGUCGUAACAAGGUUUCCGUAGGUGAACCUGCGGAAGGAUCAUUACCGUUACUCUGUGUCUUGCACACACUGUAAACCACUGUGAACUGUUUCGAGCUUGUGGGGUGGUUCUCGUUUGCACUAAAAUGCUCUCGAGAGCCUCAAAUGCAGUUAGACAGCUGAGGCUGGCUGCUGCGGCCCCACAUGUCUGUCUUUUAUGUUUUUCAAAACACUCAAUUCAUUCCAGUUGAAUAUCACUCUGGCCAGUCCAGUUUGAUACACAGUUUAAACACAUGACAACUUCUAACGGUGGAUCUCUUGGCUCGUGCAUCGAUGAAGAACGUAGCCAGUUGCGAUAAGUAGUGUGAAUUGCAGAAUUCAGUGAAUCAUCGAAUCUUUGAACGCAAAUUGCGCUCUCUGGAUAUCCAGGGAGCAUGCCUGUCUGAGUGUCGUGAUAAAAACUACACACCCCUGGUGUGGCAUGUGGGUAUCGAGUUUGCAGUUUGCUCAGGCGUUCUGUACUAAACUCGUCCUGCGAAGUGCGUGAACCUGAAUGUGCUGCUGACUGCAUGUGCAUUGGGAAGGCUCAACUUGCUUCUGUCUUUCCCUCUGUGUUCUCAUGCCAGCAGUAUCAUUGUAGAUGGUGAGUAAGACAGUGCGCUGUCAAUUUCUGAUUUUUGACCUCAGAUCAGACAAGACUACCCCGCUGAAUUUAAGCAUAUCAAUAAGCGGAGGGA
rnacentral:rRNA from 1 species